AGCUUUCUAGUAUAAUUGUAUAGGCAAUUUCCAUUUGUCAGGCUGUAAAGCUA
rnacentral:tRNA from 1 species